rnacentral:rRNA from 1 species
UACGUAGGGUGCGAGCGUUGUCCGGAAUUACUGGGCGUAAAGAGCUCGUAGGCGGUCUGUCGCGUCUGCUGUGAAAACUCGGGGCUUAACCCCGGGCCUUGCAGUGGGUACGGGCAGACUAGAGUGCGGUAGGGGAGACUGGAAUUCCUGGUGUAGCGGUGAAAUGCGCGAUAUCAGGAGGAACACCGGUGGCGAAGGCGGGUCUCUGGGCCGUAACUGACGCUGAGGAGCGAAAGCAUGGGGAGCGAACAGG